rnacentral:rRNA from 1 species
UACGUAGGGGGGCAAGCGUUGUCCGGAAUCAUUGGGCGUAAAGCGCGUGUAGGCGGCCCGAUAAGUCCGCUGUGAAAAGUCCAGGGCUCAACCCUGGAAUGCCGGUGGAUACUGUCGGGCUCGAGUCCGGAAGAGGCGAGUGGAAUUCCUGGUGUAGCGGUGAAAUGCGCAGAUAUCAGGAGGAACACCGGAGGCGAAAGGCGGCUCACUGGGGCCUUACCUGACGCUGAGGCGCGAAAGCUAGGGGAGCAAACAGG